rnacentral:rRNA from 1 species
CCUACGGGAGGCAGCAGUGGGGAAUAUUGCACAUUGGGGGAAACCCUGAUGCAGCGACGCCGCGUGAGUGAAGAAGUAUUUCGGUACGUAAAGCCCUAUCAGCAGGGAAGAAAAUGACGGUACCUGACUAAGAAGCCCCGGCUAACUACGAGCCAGCAGCCGCGGUAAUCCGUAGGGGGCAAGCGUUAUCCGGGUUUAUCGGGGGUAAAGGGGGCGUAGUCGGGUGGGAAAGUCUGGAGUGAAAUCCCUUGGGUUAACCAUGGAACUGCUUUGGAGACUGGGCAGCUGGAGUUCAGGAGAGGUAGGCGGAAUUCGUGGUGUAGCGGUGAAAUGCGUAGAUAUUAGGAAGAACACCGAUUGCGAAGGCGGCUUACUGGACUGUAACUGACGUUGAGGCUCGAAAGCGUGGGGAGCAAACAGGAUUAGAUACCCCGGUAGUC